GCAUAUCAAUAAGCGGAGGAAAAGAAACCAACAGGGAUUGCCCUAGUAACGGCGAGUGAAGCGGCAACAGCUCAAAUUUGAAAUCUGGCUUCGGCCCGAGUUGUAAUUUGCAGAGGAAGCUUUAGGCGCGGCACCUUCUGAGUCCCCUGGAACGGGGCGCCAUAGAGGGUGAGAGCCCCGUAUAGUUGGAUGCCUAGCCUGUGUAAAGCUCCUUCGACGAGUCGAGUAGUUUGGGAAUGCUGCUCAAAAUGGGAGGUAAAUUUCUUCUAAAGCUAAAUACCGGCCAGAGACCGAUAGCGCACAAGUAGAGUGAUCGAAAGAUGAAAAGCACUUUGAAAAGAGGGUUAAAUAGCACGUGAAAUUGUUGAAAGGGAAGCGCUUGUGACCAGACUUGCGCCGGGCUGAUCAUCCGGUGUUCUCACCGGUGCACUCUGCCCGGCUCAGGCCAGCAUCGGUUCUCGCGGGGGGAUAAAGGCCCUGGGAAUGUAGCUCCUCCGGGAGUGUUAUAGCCCGGGGUGUAAUGCCCUCGCGGGGACCGAGGUUCGCGCAUCUGCAAGGAUG
rnacentral:rRNA from 1 species